AGACAUGUAAGUCAUCAGUUACAAAGACUGAAGACUGCUGAGGUUUGAGGUUGGAGCUUGGAGCUUAAAUAAAGUUUGCAGACCUUGCUGAUAAAAGUGGAAGAAUGAAGCAUCACACUUUGAUCUUCUUGCUGUUUGUGUGUCUAAUGACAGCUUUUCAGUGUUUAAACGGAGCCUUUGAGCUGACGAAUCCUCCGCCCGUCCAUUCAAGAGGGAUCCUGCGUGGAACUGACCGUCAGGUCUACACGUGAGCUCCCUGUGCAGCCUUUCUACUGGUUUUGGAUGAAAGACGCCGAUAUCAUUCUUAGUUCCGCCACGCAACUCCGGCCCGUCCACCCGGACUUUGAGGGCCGUGUGAAAUCUGCGGGCCCGCCGCCUUUACAGUGGCGCACUGCCGGAACGUCAAUGACCAUCUUGAUGUGCGACGUCAAGAAAAGUGACAGUGGCAAAUACAAGUUUGCAUUUGGGUUCACUGUGGGAGAGGACUUAGAAUUGGCAGAGGUUUCUACUAAUGUCACAGUGGAAGACAAUCCCUGCCCCAUUUAUAUAUCAACGGUUCCAGAAAACUUGAUGGACGAUAGGCACGUGCUCCUGUCCUGCACGACUUAUACAACAUGUCCCACAUACCCACAAUUUUUGGAUGAUCUUCCGUUCCCAAUGGGGGCGAUUCAGGUGUACAGGAAGGCUCUCUUCGUCAAUUUUAUGGCCAAGUGGCAGUAUGACGGCAAGCAGAUCUUUUGCCAAGUGCUCAACAACACUGACAAGUAUCUGAGGAAAGGCUACACUUUCGAUAUAAAAUACAGUACCAGAAAUACAAGUUUAAUGUUAUCAAACACCACUUCCGUCAUAGAAGGAAAAAACAUGACUCUAAUCUGCGCCACCCAAGGAAAUCCCACCCCCACGUUCACAUGGUUCAAAAAUGACAAAGUGCUACCAGUAGUGGGACCCGAGUGGACAAUCCCUUCCGUCACCACCGAGCAGAACGGGAAGUACAAAUGUGUUGCGACAAACUACUACGGUACUUCAGAGUCCACACUCGACAUUGACGUCAAAUACCCUCCGACGGUUGAAGUCGAGCAUUCCCGGUCCACAUUCAGGCAGGGAGAGGUCAUGACGCUGACGUGCAAUGUGAUGAGUAGCAACCCCGAGCCCAGUGACUUCAUUUGGUACAAAGACGACAAACAUGUGGCAUCCAAUCAAGUGUUCACGGUCUUGUCGGUGCAGCCCGAGCACAUGGGUUGGUACAAGUGCGUGGCCUACAACGAUGCGGGCAAUGGAGCGUCGGACCUUCUGAUUGAAGUGGAAUACCGGCCGAGGAAUACCACCGUUUCUAUCGUGGGUUCCGGUAGCCCCUUGGUCGAAGCGGGCGCGUCCAUUACGUUGCAGUGCAUCACAGACGCCAACCCCGUGCCCGACAAGUAUGCCUGGUUGGCAGACGAGUGCAACCAAUCGUCGGCGUGUCUGUCUGAGAACAUUGGUGACCGCCUGUUGGUGAAUGACGUUCAGCCAGGCAACCAUGUCUGCUACACGUGCAACGCCACCAACAAAGUGGAUGCUGGCGAAAACAGUGAACCGCUGUGCAUCCAAGUCCUGGAUGGUCCGACAAACCUGGUACUUUCAAUGACCACCGAGGUCACUGAAGGUGAGCUGGUCUCCAUGCUCUGCUCGGUGGAAAGCGUCCCACCCUCCGCCCUCAACUUGACCUGGACUUCCAGCGACCAGUCCAUGCGGGUGGUCACUAGGUCCAAUGACAACAACACGCUGUUCCACAGCUUCAAAGCCACCUGCGCAAACGGGGGCGUUUACACCUGCGAGGCCAUCAACAGCCAAGGAAGACAGAGCACGCAAAAGACUUUGGAUGUCAGAUAUGCUCCCAAAGAUGUGGUGGUAAAAGCUCACCCGUCUCUGGAGGUGACCGAAAACACGCCGUUGAAGCUGGAGUGCGUCGCCGACUCGAACCCGUCCAUCAAGUCGGUGAUGUGGUGGAAAGCGACUGACUCCACGAGCGACAACUUGGCAGAGAGCCGAACCUUAACCAUCACGUCCCUCACGGUCGCUGACGCCGGCUUCUAUGGCUGCACGGUCACCAAUGAAGUGGGCUCGGCGAGGUCAGCCAAAGUGGAGGUCAAGGUUCAGAAUGCUCCCAUAGUCAGAGGUAACCAGGACACCAAAGAACGGUUGCUGAACUACAUCAUCCCUCCUGUUUGUGUGCUCUUGUUCGUGGCACUUGUUGUGUUCAUCUACAGUGAUACUAUAAGGACUGUGCAUGACAGGAAAAGGAAAUGCAUGAGGGCAAGAUGUCAGGACACGCAGGUCUUGAACAUUAUUGACACGGUCCGGACCAGCGAGUCGAGGGCCAGUAACAUGGGUAAGAAACCCAUUUGUAAUGUCGAGCUGCUCUCUGCUGGAAAGGUGAGUCAUUUACCAUCCAGACGUUUGGAUAUAGAAGUCAAAUAAAAGCAAAAUUGUUCAGUUCCUGCUUCCACUUUUUCACACAUAAAAGGAAAUUUAACUGCUGUCACUAAUUUUAACUCUUCAGUGACAGCCAUUUUCAGAAAAUACGACCCCAUAGUACCAGCCAUUUUUGAGGUUUUUUGACCGAUCUUUCCAGGCAUACAGGAUAUCUAUGGUUAUGUACAUCCAAAUUAUACCAAAUUAAAGAAUGGACUCUUCACCAGGAAAACAAGCGUGAUCCUACCUUUUUCCAUUUUUUAGUUCAUGUCCAGUGAAAAAUUUUUUGGUCAUGUCCAGUGUUGCCACAGCUACCUUGAAAAAGGCACUUAGUUACUUUACUGAUUGAGCUUGAUUGAGCUUAAAAGUAACUUCGUUACUUUACUUAUUACUUGAUUUCUAAAGUAACUAAGUUAGAAAAAAGAACUUUUUAGUGACUUUCAGCAGCUGUCAAGUGGCAGGAAUAUCACUUAUCCACAGUACAAAAAAAGCAUUGCGUUAACCGUAACCCUGACUUGGUAAUGUAUGGGACAAGUUACAGGAGGAUACAAUAACUUAAAUAUUAGUGUUGAAGUCACAAUAAAUCAGCAACUUAGUGCAGACUUGAGACAUGAAAACAGAAUACAGUUAAGUAACUAAACGUAAAAACAACACCAUUCUCGGUACACUGCGGAUUGUGGUCUAAAGCCAACUAUGUGCGUGCGUGUACGUAAACGUGAGAGGAAGACCAUUGCUCCCAUUUUGAUGCGAAGACCGAGAAAACAUUUGUUCUUACUACGUGACGUCAGCCGUGCAGCGCGUUCAACCAGCUCACAGACGAAGUUGAGAUUUCUCACUUUUCACUGUCAAUAUUAUUCAAGCUAAGUAUUGGAAGUUCUUCAGUGAGUCAGUCCUUACCCUCCAUGACCGAUGGAUGUUCGCACACUUGGUAUGAAUAAUUAACCCUCAAUGUAUUCACAUUUAACACCAGAUAAAAUUUCUUAGUGUGUAAAUAAAGUAACAAUGAAAUAGUUUAUACUAGUCAAAAUAACAAAAAUAGUGUGGCGACAGUGAAAUCGUUCAUUUCCUUUUAUGGUACUACACGCACUGUGCAUUGUGUAAUAAACAAUCGCUUCCCAAUCGCUUUCUUCCAUUUGUAGAAAAGAACGGUGUCGGUUAAAUGCUGCUGCCCAGUUGAAAGCUUUGUUCAAAUAACAAACUACAAAUGAAUAUUUAGUGAGACAUUGACGAUGCGAAAGUAACUACUGAUGGUUUGAAGUAACUGUAGUCUGACGACUUUCCCGGGGAAAGUAACGUGUUUCUUCGCUUGUUUCUCAAAAUGGCGGAUUUCUGGAGUAACGCUUUACCGGCAUCACUGGUCAUGUCUCAGAGAAAAUGGAGCUAAUUAGCUUUUUGUGAAAAGCAGCAUUUAUGCAACAGAAACCUCGAUAGCAAGAUAAUCAUGUACUUAGCUAUAUAAUGUGCUGUGAGUGACGAGAACUCACCGGAAUGCACGUCAGUCAUGACGCUUCAUGUUGUUUCGUGGCUGUUGACUUGGUCCUUGUCAUACAAGACCUCAAUUGUACAUAUAUAUAAAGAUGAUUCUGAUAUAUCUGAUACAAACACACAAUUGUUACAAUACAGACACUGCGAAUACUAUACAUAGUUUUGUUUUCGAGUGUAAAAAAUGCUUCAGCUUGUCCAUCUUCAGCCUGUACGUGCCGCCAUUUUUGGCCCGCAAACACUGCUGUGUGCACACGAUCAAGGCUGAGAGGGUUGGUUGUCAAAUGUAAAAUGGUGCAACGCUGCCCUCUGCUGGUGGUUUUCAGUAGGAAGUGAAGAAUUACAUCGCACUCUCCUGCUGCCAAUCCCGUGAAAAAAACGUAUUUGAAAACUCGUCAACGGUAGGGAAUAUAUUGAUUCUACUUGACGAGUUAAUUCGGGCCGACAGGUGAGAGCGUCUGCCUCACGGUUCAAUCCCCGGCCCCACCUGUGUGGAGUUUGCAUGUUCUCCCCGUGCCUGCGUGGGUUUUCUCCGGGCACUCUGGUUUCUCCCACAUCCCAAAAACGUGUGGUAGGUUUAUUGAAGACACUAAAUUGCCCGUAGGUGUGAAUGUGAGUGCGAAUGGAUGUUUAUGUGUGCCCUGCGAUUGGCAGGGUGUAGGGUGUAGCCCGCCUCCUGCCCAAUGAUAGCUGGGAUAGGCUCCAGCACGCCCGCGACCCUUGUGAGGAGAAGCGGCUCAGGAUGGAUGGAUGGAUGGAUGGAUGAAAGAAAUAUCACACAGCCACAUUUCUUCUGAUCAUCCUUAAAAUGGUUCUUCAUUCAUUGGAGUCCAGCUGUGUUUGAUUAGACUGAUUGGACUUGAUUAGGAAAGCCACACACCUGUCUAUAUAAGACCUAACAGCUCAGUGCAUGUCAGAGCAAAUGUCAAUCAUGAGGUCAAAGGAACUGCCUGAAGAGCUCAGAGACAGAAUUGUGGCAAGGCACAGAUCUGGCCAGAGUUAGAAAAAAAAAUCUGUUGCACUUAAGGUUCCUAAGAGCACAGUGGCCUCCAUAAUCCUUAAAUGGAAGACGUUUGGGAGGACCAGACCCCUUCCUAGAGCUGGCCAAACUGAGCAAUCGGGGGAGAAGAGCCUUGGUGUGAGGGGUAAAGAAGAACCCAAAGAUCACUGUGGCAGAGCUCGAGAUGCAGUCGGGAGAUGGGAGAAGGUUCUCGAAAGUCAACCAUCACUGCAGCCCUCCACCAGUCUGGGCUUUAUGGCAGAUUAGACAGACGGAAGCCUCUUCUCUGGUCUGAUGUGACCAAGAUAGAACUUUUUGGCCUCCAAGAUAGAACUUUUUGGCCUUAAUUCUAAGCGGUAUGUGUGGAGAAAACCAGGCACGGCUCAUCACCCGUCCAAUACAGUCCCAUCAGUGAAGCAUGGUGGUGGCAGCAUCAUGCUGUGGGGGUGUUUUUCAGCUGCAGGGGCAGGACGACUGGUUGCAAUUGAAGGAAAGAUGAAUGCGGCCACGUACAGGGAUAUCCUGAACGAAAACCUUCUCCAGAGUGCAGGACCUCCGACUGGGCCGAUGGUUCACCUUCCAACGACAAUGACUCUAAGCACACAGCUGAAAUGCCGAAGGAGUGGCUUUAGAACAACUACGUGACGACUUAGAUGGCCCAGCCAGAGCCCAGACUUAAACCCAACUGAGAAUCUCUGGAGAGACCUGAAAAUGACUGUGCACCAACGUUCACCAUCCAACCUGACAGAACUGACUUAGAUGGCCCAGCCAGAGCCCAGACUUAAACCCAACUGAGAAUCUCUGCAGACCUGAAAAUGACUGUGCACCAACGUUCACCAUCCAACCUGACAGAACUGACUUAGAUGGCCCAGCCAGAGCCCAGACUUAAACCCAACUGAGAAUCUCUGGAGAGACCUGAAAAUGACUGUGCACCAACGUUCACCAUCCAACCUGACAGAACUGAAGAGGAUCUGCAAGGCACCAUCCAACCUGACAGAACUGAAGAGGAUCUGCAAGGAGGAAUGGCAGAGGUUCCCCAAAUCCAGGAUCGAUCAGCGGCCAAAGUGGUUCAGGAUGGAACCCCCAAGGAUGACGCUGUCCAUGAUGCUUU